rnacentral:rRNA from 1 species
AGAUUGAACGCUGGCGGCAUGCCUAACACAUGCAAGUCGAACGGGAGUAGCAAUACUCUAGUGGCGGACGGGUGAGGAAUACGUAGGAAUUUGCCCUUAAGUGGGGGAUAACCCGGGGAAACCCGGAUUAAUACCGCAUGACCUCGAAAGAGCAAAGUGGGGGAUCGCAAGACCUCACGCUUUUGGAGAAGCCUACGUCGGAUUAGCUAGUUGGUGAGGUAAUGGCUCACCAAGGCGACGAUCCGUAACUGGUCUGAGAGGAUGAUCAGUCACACCGGAACUGAGACACGGUCCGGACUCCUACGGGAGGCAGCAGUGGGGAAUAUUGGACAAUGGGCGCGAAGCCUGAUCCAGCAAUGCCGCGUGUGUGAAGAAGGCCUUUCGGGUUGUAAAGCUAACGUUUAAGGUUUAGGGAAAGUAAAAAACUCGACUACCUAACGACUAGUGUAGUACUUGACGGUACCGACAGAAGUAAG